GGACACACAGCUGCUGAAGUCUGAUGCUGGCUGACAAUAAACAGACCUCUCUGGAUGUACCCCAUCUUUUGUAGAGUAAUUCUAACAUUGCCCUUCCUGUAACAUGAUGAUCCUGCUGUCCUGGACUGUAUAUGAUGAGCCUACACAUAAUCUCAGAACAGCUGUGGUAAUAACAGGAGACCCAUUUGGUGAGAGCAGCACUGCAGUCUUUCCUGAUGGAGGAUAUCAUGGACCAUUUGCAUAAGACUGAUGAUGCGUUUCAGCGGCCAUCAGCAUCGUAAAUCCUCACCAUUUUUUUAUAUUUAUAUAUUUUUUUUUAUUAUGUGCAUUAAUAACACUAUACUUUGUAUUAUCUCACAUUUGUAUCAAAUUACAAAAAAAAAAAAAAAAAAUAGCUAAUGCAAGGGUGUUUCAAAUCCAGAGUCUUUGGGAGGAAUGAUAAAUUUAACAUUGUUCUCUCUUCUGACUGCUGUUAUCAGUCUCUGUCAGAUUUUUUCCUUUGAUUGAAAGUUGUGAAAAUGCUAUCUUUAGAGUUUAUGUUUUGUUAUUUGAGUAAAUGAGAAUGCAAAAAUAUAUUUGUGAUACUCUCCCAUUCACUGCUCUCGAAGUUAACCCAACUAUAACAACUUCCGCUGCUGAGAAACUGGUUUAUUAAGCUAUCUUGAGGCUUAUCAAUUUCUUAAAAUGUCCUGUGAUAAUUCUUCCAAUCAGUUACCACAAUUUAGAACAGGAAAGAAAAUGUUACUAUGAAUUGCAUUGUGUCUAAAAUUGAAUUGAAUUUAUUAAUUUAAAUUGUAUCAUUGUUUUAGGUACAUGAAAUGUUUUUGUAAAGUUAAUUAGUUAAUUAAUAAAGUUAAUUUAAUUUAAAGAUAAUUGAGUCCCAUUUAUUUGUUUAUAAUUUUACCAAGGUGUAAAUUUUUUGUUGUUGUUGUUAUUUGUUUAUAGCAAUAUUAACACUGAUGUGUCCAUGAAUGGGAUUGU